GAUGAAGAACGUAGCGAAAUGCGAUACGUAAUGUGAAUUGCAGAAUUCCGUGAAUCAUCGAAUCUUUGAACGCAUAUUGCGCCCUCUGGUAUUCCGGAGGGCAUGCCUGUCCGAGCGUCAUUUCAACCAUCAAGCCCCAGGCUUGUGUUGGGGACCUGCGGCUGCCGCAGGCCCUGAAAACCAGUGGCGGGCUCGCUAGUCACACCGAGCGUAGUAGCAUACACAUCGCUCAGGGCGUGCUGCGGGUUCCGGCCGUUAAACCCCUUUUUUACCCAAGGUUGACCUCGGAUCAGGUAGGAAGACCCGCUGAACUUAAGCAUAUCAAUAAGCGGAGGA
rnacentral:misc_RNA from 1 species